UGAGGAAUAUUGGUCAAUGGGCGAGAGCCUGAACCAGCCAAGUCGCGUGAAGGAUGAAGGUUUUAUGAAUUGUAAACUUCUUUUGCAGGGGAAUAAAGUGCACCACGUGUGGUGUUUUGUAUGUACUCUGCGAAUAAGGAUCGGCUAACUCCGUGCCAGCAGCCGCGGUAAUACGGAGGAUCCAAGCGUUAUCCGGAUUUAUUGGGUUUAAAGGGUGCGCAGGCGGACUUAUAAGUCAGCGGUGAAAGUUUGCAGCUUAACUGUAAAAUUGCCGUUGAAACUGUGAGUCUUGAGUGCAAAUGAGGUAAGCGGAAUGUGUUGUGUAGCGGUGAAAUGCUUAGAUAUAACACAGAACACCAAUUGCGAAGGCAGCUUACUGGGAUGCAACUGACGCUGAGGCACGAAAGCGUGGGGAUCAAACA
rnacentral:rRNA from 1 species